GGAAAAGAGAAGGAAAAAGAAAACACCUUUGUAUGCGCGCAGGUUGGGGAGAUGAAUUAACUUUUAAAAAAACUUCUUCUUCAAAGGCGCCUCUCGAUUUAGUUGUUUUGCUUCUCUCUCUCUCUAAAUUCUCCCUCUCCCUCUUAACAUUUCUCCAUUGCCAAGGGCUCAAUCCAUUCCGAUCCAUUCCUCACUAUCCUCCUUCAAACUGAAGUGUAGCGUCUUCCCAUCCUUCUAGGGCUUCCAAUUCUUUUUUGUCUCUCACAUGAUUCUUGAAAUUUAGGGUUUUUUUCAUCUGUUGGUUUUGGGGGUUUAGUGGGGUGGAGAAAUGAAGGGUUCUUAGAUAUUUUUGACCCCAUGGCCGGUCGGGAUGGAUCCCAAUUAUUCUCGUGCCUCUUAUGCUUCAUCAUCCGACGUUUAUUUUGGAUUUUCUUUUAGCGAUAGUAAUUUCUCUGAUCGUUUUCUCUGGAUUGAGAUUAUGGGGGAACCAUUGCAGUCCUGUCUUAAUGAUGUUCGAUGUACUAAGAUCCUCGAUAUGGCUCGACGGAAGAGACGGCGAGUGGAAUGCAAGAAGGAAAACGAAGCAUUGGACAAUAUAGUUGCAUGGUCAUUUGAUAAAGUGAUUAUUGGUGAAUGAAAUGAUGCCUUACUAGAGGAAAAGAGCACCAACAUGACAGCUCAACUAUGUAACAAUAUAAUCUUGAAUACUUGGAGAAUUUUGUAUUUUGAGGACUAAUUAAUGUUGUUGGUACAUUCACUAACUACUUUAUCUAGCUUGUAUAGAUGACAACUUUAUUCUAGAAAAUUAUUGAAUACUUUAUCUUGCAAUGUUAAUAGAUUAUGAAUGGAAGUUAUUAGUA